ACGCUUUGGAUCACAGAUCGGGUGUGGAGAAGGCAAGAUGUUGGCAUAGCUGUUUGAUUCAAAUUCUCAGCUGUGCUCACAUAUUGCCAUUUAUGCACUUGUAAGAAUCAUCCACUGCAGC
rnacentral:pre_miRNA from 8 species